GAUGAACGCUGGCGGCGUGCCUAAUACAUGCAAGUCGAGCGAAUGGAUUAAGAGCUUGCUCUUAUGAAGUUAGCGGCGGACGGGUGAGUAACACGUGGGUAACCUGCCCAUAAGACUGGGAUAACUCCGGGAAACCGGGGCUAAUACCGGAUAACAUUUUGAACCGCAUGGUUCGAAAUUGAAAGGCGGCUUCGGCCGUCACUUAUGGAUGGACCCGCGGCGAAUUAGCUAGUUGGUGAGGUAACGGCUCACCAAGGCAACGAUGCGUAGCCGACCUGAGAGGGUGAUCGGCCACACUGGGACUGAGACACGGCCCAGACUCCUACGGGAGGCAGCAGUAGGGAAUCUUCCGCAAUGGACGAAAGUCUGACGGAGCAACGCCGCGUGAGCGAUGAAGGCUUUCGGGUCGUAAAACUCUGUUGUUAGGGAAGAACAAGUGCUAGUUGAAUAAGCUGGCACCUUGACGGUACCUAACCAGAAAGCCACGGCUAACUACGUGCCAGCCGCCGCUGUAA
rnacentral:rRNA from 1 species